rnacentral:lncRNA from 1 species
GGGAUGAAAUAAAAUAUUCAUUAAGAACAAAAUAAAGUUUAUACAACUCCAGGAAUAGAAAAUUAAAAACAUAAAACCCUUGGCCCUUUGUUAGGGCUGCAUCCAGCCCUAGUGAGGAGAUCAGCCUUCCAUGGGGUCGUGGGCGGCAGCAGCAGUGGCACAGCAGCGGGCUUCCAUUUCUUCCUUCCGGCUUUUUUCUCUCCCGUGGGACUCCCUUAGCAUUUUCUUUUUUUUUCUUCUUUUUCCGUGGGAAGUUCUUCCCACAAUACCCCAAAAGCCUCUCUUUCCUUUUUACUUCUGUGGGAACUCCGUCUCUCCCCCCCAGAUGCCCCUCGAAGAGAAGAACUCCUCUCUUUAUAUAGGCUGCCCACCUCUCUCUCC